CCUAGCAACCUCGCAGAACUGCUGGUCUUCCCAGGCAACCAUGGGCCUGUACAGCCAAGGAGACUGCCGCUUUGCAGGGGCCCAGUCCUGCGUGGUUUGGGCACUCAGCACGUCACAGGAUUGAACCUCACACAAGCAGGCAGCCGCAGUACCUACCACGCACUGGGAGGCUCUGCCAACAGCCACGUCUGCCGAAUCCGCUGGUUCCAAGCUUUCCUCCCCGGGGGGGCAGGCAGAGGGGACACAUUUGCUCAGAGCAGCACAACACCCACAGGAGGGCCAGUGAUGGGCCUGGCAGGCAGAGGAGAUUGGCAUGGGGAGGCUUUGUUGGCGCUACAGAGGGACGACAUAAUAUCUGUUAGAGUCCACCACGUCCCUAUCCCUCUUGCUUGCUAUUCACAAACAUUCGUUCCAGCUGUUUUAUGUUGCAUGAGUCUUUGGUUACCGGCUGCUCUCCAUCAGCACGGUGAACAAGAGUCCUCGUUAUUUGUUCAGCACUAUUGCCCUUGCUAAAAUGUCUCCGUCAUCCAAUCAGGAAGCAGAAAGAACAGCAUGUGACUUUGGAGGCGAAUCACACAUCAAGAUUCAGCAGUAGGGCUUUCCCUUUGCAGCCCGUCCCCGUGGUGGCGAUCUGAGUGGGGCUACACCUGGGCAUGCCCACCACUGGCAGGAAGGCCCCCGGUUGAGCAGUUAGUGAACUGCCCACAGACAGACGCUCUUUUGUGGGAACUCCCCUGCCGAAUACCUGCAACGAGUGUGGUCAGCAGCUACAAUGUCAACCAGUCCCCAAAUGCACUCUGUACCCUCCGAGACAGACAGCUGGACAGGCUUCUCCCCUCUGCUUUUCUGUCUGGGUUUUGCUUCCCCUUUUAUGGCGUGUUCCACAUUAGCACAAGCGACGAUGAUCUCUAAUAAUAUAAUCCCCGUCUGCACUCCUCUGGCACUUCCCCUCCGAACGUCUCACAGCACAUGCAAGGUGCCAUGGGGAGAACCCUGAUCUCCAGUCUGUGAGAGCUUGUGACUUGCCCAAGGACACACCGCAGGUCGGUAGCAGAGCUAGGAACAUAAGCCCCAAAUCUCCGGAGUCCAAAUCCCUGUGCUUUAAGAACGCCCGUGCCUUCUCCAGCUGCCACCUUGAUAGGAUUGUCUGGGUCUCAGCUCUCUGAUUCUCACAUGCUUUGGGGUGCCAAGCGGGUGGCAUUAUUCUGUGCAGACCAUAUGCACAUUUAAGUCGCUUUCUUCACUGCCUGCCUCAUCUUCCCCCACAGCAGGCUCUUGCCGUGCUCAGCCUGUCUCA
rnacentral:lncRNA from 1 species